CCUCGCAUGUUCCUGGUUUUAGACGUGACUCCCAACAGACACAUGAGAGACCAUGGGCCUAACCAGAUGAGUGGGCCAUAAGGACAAGGUCUACAUCAAGAAAGCAGUCAUCUGGAAGCCAGAGGGGCAUCACUGAGAAACCCAUGCAAGGCUCUCAAGGAGGGGAGAAGAUGAGCUUUAACCCUGCGUGGGAGGACAGACAUCGAUGUUGCUGUGAUGGUACAAGCUGAGUCAGAGUUUUGGAGAGACACAAAGUACCCAUGUCUUCAAAUGAAGUCCAGGAAGAUUGCGGGAAACCAGGCCACACACACUCUAGUGUGCUCUGGCUAAAAGAGCAGAGAAUCCUUCCUUAGAGCCGGAGGCCUUAAGUGGAUAAGGCUGGCCACUGAGCGGCGAUUUUGACAACAUGAACUGAAGCAUACACAGUGAGAAGCAGCUGGCCAAGGGGAAUGGCCGACCUGCAUGUCCAGCUGUUAUGGUCAAGUAUUCAUGGCUGGCGAAAGAAGGAAAAACUACAGAGUGUUGCUCUAGCUUUGGUCUUGCCCGAGCAGGUGUCUAUUCUGCCCUCUGAAGACAAGAUCUUAAAGACACAAAGCCUUCUCCAACCCUCCUUUGGUGAUGUGGCCUUGGCAACUAAUGCAAGUGACUUAACAUGGACACAUUCAUUCUGGAGGCUAAGGAGGGACUGUGGCCAUGGAGCACUGGAGUCAGUCCAUACUGGCUCACAAGAGCUGACUGUUAAUUUUUCCAGAACUUUGUGAGCUGGUUGUUAAAGACAUACAUCAUUUGAAAUUAAAUGACAUAAACUAACCAUUACCUCACACUAAAAACAAGGGCACUGGCUGCUCAAAACUGA